rfam:Salmo salar isolate Sally breed double haploid chromosome ssa13, whole genome shotgun sequence.
UUCCCUGUGGCUCAGUUGGUAGAGCAUGAUGUUUGCAACGCCAGCAUGGUGUGUGCAAUGCCAGGGUUGUGGGUUCGAUUCCCACGGGGGGGG